UGGGGAAUAUUGGACAAUGGGCGAAAGCCUGAUCCAGCCAUGCCGCGUGUGUGAAGAAGGUCUUCGGAUUGUAAAGCACUUUAAGUUGGGAGGAAGGGCAGUAAGCGAAUACCUUGCUGUUUUGACGUUACCGACAGAAGAAGCACCGGCUAACUCUGUGCCAGCAGCCGCGGUAAUACAGAGGGUGCAAGCGUUAAUCGGAAUUACUGGGCGUAAAGCGCGCGUAGGUGGUUCGUUAAGUUGAAUGUGAAAGCCCCGGGCUCAACCUGGGAACUGCAUCCAAAACUGGCGAGCUAGAGUAGGGCAGAGGGUGGUGGAAUUUCCUGUGUAGCGGUGAAAUGCGUAGAUAUAGGAAGGAACACCAGUGGCGAAGGCGACCACCUGGGCUCAUACUGACACUGAGGUGCGAAAGCGUGGGGAGCAAACAGG
rnacentral:rRNA from 1 species